GAGAGAUCUUCAGCUUGAAAAUCUGUGAAAAAAACCUGAAUGUUCCCUGGUUUGGGAGCUACCUCUUCCACAUGGGAGUUCACCUUUUCAAGAACAGAUUUAAUGGGGUUUUAAAGGCUUACCUCGUUGAUCCGACGUGGAGUGGGCCGUGCCCAGAAGGUCCGCGCAAGAGGAAGUUGAAGGAUGACUAAGAAGGACGGACCGGAAGUCGGCCAUGUUGGGAAGGUCGCAAUUCAAAAUCCCUGGAGGACGACGAAUUUGAGCGGACAGGACGUCGGCCAUGCUGAGGAGGUCUCUCCGAAAGGAACACAAGCGAUGGACAAGCACAGCACAAGACUGCCCUCUGCUGGAAAAGAAAUUUAUAAACCCGAUUAUCUUUCUGCAAUUUUGUGCCAUCCACCUGGCUUCCAUCGUUCCCAGCCAGGAGAUUGGAAAUUACAGGGUUGGAAGCACAAUGUGGCUGGAAGAUAUCACGUGAGGGAGACACGAAAAGGGUUAGGGCUAGGUAUGUGAAAAUGAAAGAAGAAAUGCAAAAAAAAAAAAAAAAAAA